rnacentral:tRNA from 1 species
GAAAAAUUAGUUAAUAAAUAAUAUUAAUUUGUCAAAUUAAAGUUACUAAAGUAUUUUUCC